rnacentral:rRNA from 1 species
AAUGAACGCUGGCGGCACGCUUUAUACAUGCAAGUCGAAUGGGUUAGACCCAUGGCAAAACGGGUGAGUAAUAUAUAAGAAUUUACCCCUCAAAGCAGAAUAAUCUCGGGAAACUGAGAAUAAUACUGUAUAUCCUUGUUUACAAGAAAAGAUUUUAUCGUUGAGGGAUAAGCUUAUACAAGAUUAGGUAGUUGGUGAGGUAAUAGCUCACCAAGCCGAAGAUCUUUAGUUGGUCUGAGAGGACGAUCAACCACACUGGGACUGAGAUACGGCCCAGACUUCUACGGAAGGCAGCAGUAAGGAAUAUUGGACAAUGGACGAAAGUCUGAUCCAGCGAUGCCGCGUGAAUGAUGAAGGCCUU